rnacentral:rRNA from 1 species
GACAGAGGGUGCAAACGUUGCUCGGAAUCACUGGGCGUAAAGGGUGCGUAGGCGGGUCUUUUAAGUCAGGGGUGAAAUCCUGGAGCUCAACUCCAGAACUGCCUUUGAUACUGAAGAUCUUGAGUUCGGGAGAGGUGAGUGGAACUGCGAGUGUAGAGGUGAAAUUCGUAGAUAUUCGCAAGAACACCAGUGGCGAAGGCGGCUCUCUGGACCUCUGCUGACGCUGAGGCGCGAAAGCGUGGGGAGCGAGUCCGG